rnacentral:misc_RNA from 1 species
UCCCCGUUUGGCGGGGCAGUCUCUUGUGAAAAUUCAACACAAGACAUGGGUUGCGCUCGUUUACGGACUUAACCGAACACCUCAAGGCACGAGCUGACGACGACCAUGCAGCACCUGUCACCGAGUUCCGUAAGGCACUCCCAUCUUUCAACAGGAUUCUCGGGAUGUCAAACCUAGGUAAGGUUCCUCGCUCAUUAUCGAAUUAAACCAGGUGCUCCACCGCUUGUGUGGGUCCCCGUCUAUUCCUUUGAGUUUUAAACUUGCGUUCGUACUCCCCAGGCGGGAUACUUAAUGCGUUAGCUUCGGCACUGAAGGGGUCGAGCCCUCCAACACCUAGUAUCCAAAGUUUACGGCGUGGACUAC